ACCACACACGUCCAACGGUUGAACCCAGGGGAUCUUCGGACCUUGCGCUAAUAGAUGAGCCUAAAUCGGAUUACCUAGUUGGUGGGGUAAAGGCCUACCAGGGCCACCAUCUGUAGCGGGUCUGAGAGGAUGAUCCGCCACAGUGGGACUGACACACGGGCCAUACUCCUACGGGAGGCCUCCUUGGGGAAUAUUGGACAAUGGGGGGAACCCUGAUCCAGCCAUGCCGAGUGUGUGAAGAAGGCCUUAUGGUUGUAGAGCUCUUUACGCAAGGAUGAGGGUACUGGGAUUAAUACUACCAAGUUCUGGACGUUGCUCGCUUAAUAGGCCCCGGCUAACUCUGUGCCAGCAGCCGCGGGCCUACAGACGCUGCAAGCGUUAAUCGGAUUUACUGAUCCUGAAGCGUGGGGUCGGCGGCUAACUGAAUCAGGAUGUCAAAUCCCCCAGCUGAACUUGGGACCCCCCUUCUAUACUGGUU
rnacentral:rRNA from 1 species